rnacentral:rRNA from 1 species
UACGUAGGGUGCAAGCGUUGUCCGGAAUUAUUGGGCGUAAAGAGCUCGUAGGCGGUCUGUCGCGUCGGCUGUGAAAUCCCGGAGCUCAACUCCGGGUCUGCAGUCGAUACGGGCAGACUAGAGUUCGGUAGGGGAGUCUGGAAUUCCUGGUGUAGCGGUGAAAUGCGCAGAUAUCAGGAGGAACACCGGUGGCGAAGGCGGGACUCUGGGCCGAUACUGACGCUGAGGAGCGAAAGCGUGGGGAGCAAACAGG